rnacentral:pre_miRNA from 1 species
GAUAGUGACUUCCCAGGUGAUGCUAUAUUCUGAAUUCAUCACUGGGAAGACAUUAUCGU